GUCCUCACUUUGGCAGCAUACAUACUAAAAUCAGCCUGAUACAGAGAAGAUGACUGUGGCCCCUGCACAAGGAUGGCGUGUAAAUUCAUGAAUUAUUUCAUAAUUAA